rnacentral:misc_RNA from 1 species
GGAUGAAGAACGCAGUGAAAUGCGAUACUUGGUGUGAAUUGCAGAAUCCCGUGAACCAUCGAGUCUUUGAACGCAAGUUGCGCCCGAAGCCAUCAGGUUGAGGGCACGUCUGCCUGGGCGUCACAUAUCGUUGCCCAAUGCCUAUUGCAGUGCAAUAGGAAUUUCUAGGGCGAAUGAUGGCUUCCCGUGAGCGUUGUUGCCUCGCGGUUGGUUGAAAAUCGAGUCCUUGGUAGGGUGUGCCAUGGUAGAUGGUGGUCGAGUUAGAACGAUACCGAUCAUGUGCAUGCUCCCCAAAAUAUGGCCUCUAUGACCCACACGCGUCUUUUGACGCUCAUGACGAGACCUCAGGUCAGGCGGGGCUACCCGCUGAAUUUAAGCAUAUCAAUAAGCGGAGGA